rnacentral:rRNA from 1 species
GACGAACGCUGGCGGCGUGCUUAACACAUGCAAGUCGAACGGAAAGGCCCUGCUUUUGUGGGGUGCUCGAGUGGCGAACGGGUGAGUAACACGUGAGUAACCUGCCCUUGACUUUGGGAUAACUUCAGGAAACUGGGGCUAAUACCGGAUAGGAGCUCCUGCUGCAUGGUGGGGGUUGGAAAGUUUCGGCGGUUGGGGAUGGACUCGCGGCUUAUCAGCUUGUUGGUGGGGUAGUGGCUUACCAAGGCUUUGACGGGUAGCCGGCCUGAGAGGGUGACCGGCCACAUUGGGACUGAGGUACGGCCCAGACUCCUACGGGAGGCAGAAGUGGGGAAUAUUGCAAAAUGGGCGGAAGCCUGAUGCAGCAACGCCGCGUGCGGGAUGACGGCCUUCGGGUUGUAAACCGCUUUCGCCUGUGACGAAGCGUGAGUGACGGUAAUGGGUAAAGAAGCACCGGCUAACUACGUG